rnacentral:rRNA from 1 species
GCACCUUCGGGUGUUAGUAAAGCGGCGAACGGGUGAGUAACACGUGGGUAACCUGCCCUGAAGACCGGGACAACCAUUCGAAAGGAUGGCUAAUACCGGAUAUCCUGCGGAAUCGCAUGGUUCCGUAGAAAAUGGUAGCUUCGGCUUCUGCUUCAGGAUGGACCCGCGGCCCAUUAGCUUGUUGGUAGGGUAAUGGCCUACCAAGGCAACGAUGGGUAGCCGGCCUGAGAGGGUGAUCGGCCACACUGGAACUGAGAUACGGUCCAGACUCCUACGGGAGGCAGCAGUGGGGAAUCUUGCGCAAUGGGCGAAAGCCUGACGCAGCAACGCCGCGUGGGGGAAGAAGGCCUUAGGGUUGUAAACCUCUGUCGGGAGGGACGAAGCCACCUGGGUUAAUAGCCUAAGGGGUGACGGUGCCUCCAAAGGAAGCCCCGGCUAACUACGUGCCAGCAGCCGCGGUAAUACGUAGGGGGCAAGCGUUGUCCGGAUUUAUUGGGCGUAAAGAGCGUGUAGGCGGCCUGUCAAGUCUGAUGUGAAAUUUCACGGCUUAACCGUGAACCUGCAUUGGAAACUGCCAGGCUAGAGUCUGGAUGAGGAGAAUGGAAUUCCUGGUGUAGCGGUGAAAUGCGCAGAUAUCAGGAGGAACACCGGUGGCGAAGGCGGUUCUCUAGGACAGUACUGACGCUGAGACGCGAAAGCGUGGGGAGCAAACAGGAUUAGAUACCCUGGUAGUCCACGCCGUAAACGAUGGACACUAGGUGUUGGGGGUGUUGACUCCCUCAGUGCCGUAGCUAACGCAUUAAGUGUCCCGCCUGGGGAGUACGGCCGCAAGGCU